UGGCGGACGGGUGAGUAACGCGUGGAAAACCUGCCGUAUACUGGGGGAUAACACUUAGAAAUAGGUGCUAAUACCGCAUAAGCGCACAGCUUCGCAUGAAGCGGUGUGAAAAACUCUGGUGGUAUACGAUGGUUCCGCGUCUGAUUAGCUAGUUGGUGGGGUAAUGGCCUACCAAGGCAACGAUCAGUAGCCGGCCUGAGGGUGAACGGCCACAUUGGGACUGAGACACGGCCCAAACUCCUACGGGAGGCAGCAG
rnacentral:rRNA from 1 species